rnacentral:tRNA from 2 species
CCUUCGAUAGCUCAAUUGGUAGAGCGGGGGACUGUAGAUUUAUCAUUGUGAUCCCUAGGUCGCUGGUUCGAAUCCGGCUAGAAGAA